rnacentral:rRNA from 1 species
UGGGGAAUCUUGCGCAAUGGGCGAAAGCCUGACGCAGCGACGCCGCGUGAGCGACGAAGGCCUUCGGGUCGUAAAGCUCUGUGGGGAGGGACGAACGAACGUGGGACGAAUAGGCCCGCGGAAUGACGGUACCUCCUUAGCAAGCAUCGGCUAACUCUGUGCCAGCAGCCGCGGUAAGACAGAGGAUGCAAACGUUGCUCGGAAUUACUGGGCGUAAAGCGCGUGUAGGUGGCUUUGUAAGUCCGGUGUGAAAGCCCAGGGCUCAACCCUGGAAGUGCAUCGGAUACUGCAAAGCUGGAGUACUGAAGAGGAGAGCGGAAUUCCCGGUGUAGAGGUGAAAUUCGUAGAUAUCGGGAGGAACACCAGUGGCGAAGGCGGCUCUCUGGGCAGAUACUGACACUGAGACGCGAAAGCGUGGGGAGCAAACAG